rnacentral:misc_RNA from 1 species
UUCAUUCUUGCUCCAGGUUAAUAACUUUGUCUAGAGUUACAAUUGUGCUCAGGUUAAUUAAACCCUCCAAAUUUAAACUAGAAAAACAACUUGCAAUCGGGACUAAGGUUAAUGUUUAACACUGCCUGGAGUUAUAAUUGUGCUCAGGUUAAUAAAACCCUCCAAAUUUAAACUAGAAAAACAACUUGCAAUCGGGACUAAGGUUAAUGUUUAACACUGCCUGGAGUUAUAAUUGUGCUCAGGUUAAUA